GACGAACGCUGGCGGCGUGCUUAACACAUGCAAGUCGAACGGAAAGGCCCUGCUUUUGUGGGGUGCUCGAGUGGCGAACGGGUGAGUAACACGUGAGUAACCUGCCCUUGACUUUGGGAUAACUUCAGGAAACUGGGGCUACUACCGGAUAGGAGCUCCUGCUGCAUGGUGGGGGUUGGAAAGUUUCGGCGGUUGGGGAUGGACUCGCGGCUUAUCAGCUUGUUGGUGGGGUAGUGGCUUACCAAGGCUUUGACGGGUAGCCGGCCUGAGAGGGUGACCGGCCACAUUGGGACUGAGAUACGGACCAGAGUCCUACGGGAGGCAGCAGUGGGGAAUAUGGCACAAUGGGCGGAAGCCUGAUGCAGCAACGCCGCGUGCGGGAUGACGGCCUUCGGGUUGUAAACCGCUUUCGCCUGUGACGAAGCGUGAGUGACGGUAAUGGGUAAAGAAGCACCGGCUAACUACGUG
rnacentral:rRNA from 1 species